AAUUCCAGCGAGAGGCAGAGGGAGCGAGCGGGCGGGCCUGAGAGAGGGUGCAAAGCCGAGCUAGCAGAGCCGCGCUCGGGCGUCCAGAGAAGCGAGGUCCGGAGUGAAAGGGGGGCUUUUGCCUCCGGCCCAGGAUCUCCCACCCCACCCCUCCUGCUGACCUGUCACCAGCGGCCCGCAGCCGUCGCCGCAUCCCCCAAACUUUGCCCGUUGCAGCGGGCAGGCACUUUGCACAGGAACUUACAACACCCGAGCGAGGACGCGACAACCCGGACGCGGGGAAGCUAUUUCGCCUAUUUAGGGACACUUUUCGCUGC
rnacentral:other from 1 species